rnacentral:rRNA from 1 species
UGGGGAAUAUUGCGCAAUGGGCGAAAGCCUGACGCAGCAACGCCGCGUGAGUGAUGAAGGCCUUCGGGUCGUAAAGCUCUGUCGGAGGGAACGAAUGCUCCUGAAGUUAACAGCCUCAGGAGGUGACGGUACCCUCAAAGGAAGCACCGGCUAACUCUGUGCCAGCAGCCGCGGUAAUACAGAGGCCACAAGCGUUAGUCGGAAUCACUGGGCUUAAAGGGUGCGUAGGCUGGUCCGCAAGCGUCUUGUGAAAGCCCUCGGCUCAACCGAGGAACAGCAGGGCGAACUGCGGAUCUUGAGGCAGGUAGGGGUCGCGAGAACAGUAGGUGGAGCGGUGAAAUGCGUAGAUAUCUACUGGAAUGCCGAUGGUGAAGACGCGCGACUGGGCCUGUCCUGACGCUGAGACGCGAAAGCGUGGGGAGCGAACAGGAUUAGAUACCCAUGUAGUCCCUGAGCGGGCUGGCAAGGCGCAU